rnacentral:rRNA from 1 species
UACGUAGGGUGCAAGCGUUGUCCGGAAUUAUUGGGCGUAAAGAGCUCGUAGGCGGUCUGUCGCGUCGAAUGUGAAAACCCGGGGCUCAACCCCGGGCCUGCAUUCGAUACGGGCAGACUAGAGUUCGGUAGGGGAGUCUGGAAUUCCUGGUGUAGCGGUGAAAUGCGCAGAUAUCGGGAGGAACACCUGCGGUGUAGACGGCUUUCUGGACCAUUGCUGACGCUGAGACACGAAAGCGUGGGUAGCAAACAGG